UGGAUGCCCUGGCAGUCAGAGGCGAUGAAGGGCGUGCUAAUCUGCGAUAAGCGCCGGUAAGGUGAUAUGAACCGUUAUAACCGGCGAUACCCGAAUGGGGAAACCCAGUGUGAUUCGUCACACUAUCAUUAACUGAAUCCAUAGGUUAAUGAGGCGAACCGGGGGAACUGAAACAUCUAAGUACCCCGAGGAAAAGAAAUCAACCGAGAUUCCCCCAGUAGCGGCGAGCGAACGGGGAGGAGCCCAGAGCCUGAAUCAGCAUGUGUGUUAGUGGAAGCGUCUGGAAAGGCGCGCGAUACAGGGUGACAGCCCCGUACACAAAAGCGCAUGUGCUGUGAGCUCGAUGAGUAGGGCGGGACACGUGGUAUCCUGUCUGAAUAUGGGGGGACCAUCCUCCAAGGCUAAAUACUCCUGACUGACCGAUAGUGAACCAGUACCGUGAGGGAAAGGCGAAAAGAACCCCGGCGAGGGGAGUGAAAAAGAACCUGAAACCGUGU
rnacentral:rRNA from 1 species